rnacentral:rRNA from 1 species
AUUGAACGCUGGCGGCAGGCCUAACACAUGCAAGUCGAACGAGUGGCGGACGGGUGAGUAAUGUCUGGGCAUCUGCCUGAUGGCGGGUGAUAACUACUGAAAACUGUAGCUACUACCGCAUACCAUCAGAUGUGCCCAGAUGGGAUUAGCUGUGUGGUGGGGGAACGCCUCACCAAGGCGACGAUCCCUAGCUGGUCUGAGAGGAGGACCAGCAACACUGGAACUGAGACACGGUCCAGACUCCUACGGGAGGCAGCAGUGGGGAAUAUUGCACAAGGGGGGCAAGCCUGAUGCAGCCAUGCCGCGGGUAUGAAGAAGGCCUUCGGGUUGUAAAGUACGUUCAGCGGGGAGGCGUUACCCGCAGAAGAAGCACCGGCUAACUCCGUGCCAGCAGCCGCGGUAAUAC